ACACAUGCAAGUCGAGGGGCAGCGGGAUUGAAGCUUGCUUCAAUUGCCGGCGACCGGCGCACGGGUGAGUAACGCGUAUCCAACCUUCCGUACACUCAGGGAUAGCCUUUCGAAAGAAAGAUUAAUACCUGAUGGUAUGAUGAGAUUGCAUGAUAGCAUCAUUAAAGAUUUAUCGGUGUACGAUGGGGAUGCGUUCCAUUAGGUAGUGGGCGGGGUAACGGCCCACCUAGCCAACGAUGGAUAGGGGUUCUGAGAGGAAGGUCCCCCACAUUGGAACUGAGACACGGUCCAAACUCCUACGGGAGGCAGCAGUGAGGAAUAUUGGUCAAUGGACGAGAGUCUGAACCAGCCAAGUAGCGUGAAGGAUGAAGGUCUUACGGAUUGUAAACUUCUUUUAUAAGGGAAUAAAACCUCCCACGUGUGGGAGCUUGUAUGUACCUUAUGAAUAAGCAUCGGCUAACUCCGUGCCAGCAGCCGCGGUAAUACGGAGGAUGCGAGCGUUAUCCGGAUUUAUUGGGUUUAAAGGGAGCGCAGACGGGUCGUUAAGUCAGCUGUGAAAGUUUGGGGCUCAACCUUAAAAUUGCAGUUGAUACUGGCGUCCUUGAGUGCGGUUGAGGUGUGCGGAAUUCGUGGUGUAGCGGUGAAAUGCUUAGAUAUCACGAAGAACUCCGAUUGCGAAGGCAGCACACUAAGCCGUAACUGACGUUCAUGCUCGAAAGUGUGGGUAUCAAACAGGAUUAGAUACCCUGGUAGUCCACACGGUAAACGAUGGAUACUCGCUGUUGGCGAUAUACGGUCAGCGGCUUAGCGAAAGCGUUAAGUAUCCCACCUGGGG
rnacentral:rRNA from 1 species